GGGUUGUGAGGUUAAGCGACUAAGCGUACACGGUGGAUGCCCUGGCAGUCAGAGGCGAUGAAGGGCGUGCUAAUCUGCGAUAAGCGCCGGUAAGGUGAUAUGAACCGUUAUAACCGGCGAUACCCGAAUGGGGAAACCCAGUGUGAUUCGUCACACUAUCAUUAACUGAAUCCAUAGGUUAAUGAGGCGAACCGGGGGAACUGAAACAUCUAAGUACCCCGAGGAAAAGAAAUCAACCGAGAUUCCCCCAGUAGCGGCGAGCGAACGGGGAGGAGCCCAGAGCCUGAAUCAGCAUGUGUGUUAGUGGAAGCGUCUGGAAAGGCGCGCGAUACAGGGUGACAGCCCCGUACACAAAAGCGUAUGUGCUGUGAGCUCGAUGAGUAGGGCGGGACACGUGGUAUCCUGUCUGAAUAUGGGGGGACCAUCCUCCAAGGCUAAAUACUCCUGACUGACCGAUAGUGAACCAGUACCGUGAGGGAAAGGCGAAAAGAACCCCGGCGAGGGGAGUGAAAAAGAACCUGAAACCGUGUACGUACAAGCAGUGGGAGCACCCUUUGGGGUGUGACUGCGUACCUUUUGUAUAAUGGGUCAGCGACUUAUAUUCUGUAGCAAGGUUAACCGAAUAGGGGAGCCGGAGGGAAACCGAGUCUUAAUUGGGCGUUAAGUUGCAGGGUAUAGACCCGAAACCCGGUGAUCUAGCCAUGGGCAGGUUGAAGGUUGGGUAACACUAACUGGAGGACCGAACCGACUAAUGUUGAAAAAUUAGCGGAUGACCUGUGGCUGGGGGUGAAAGGCCAAUCAAACCGGGAGAUAGCUGGUUCUCCCCGAAAGCUAUUUAGGUAGCGCCUCGUGAAUUCAUCUCCGGGGGUAGAGCACUGUUUCGGCUAGGGGGUCA
rnacentral:rRNA from 1 species